rnacentral:rRNA from 1 species
CGGCCUGCGCGGAAGAUGUAACGGGGCUAAACCAUGCACCGAAGCUGCGGCAGCGAACGUAUCACUUAAAGCGAUUCAGCGGGUUACGAUUGACGGAGCGAAGCGACGUCAAAGCGUAUACAAAGUCGAGUCGGUUUAAGGAUACGUUCGUUGGGUAGGGGAGCGUUCUGUAAGCCUGUGAAGGUGGCCUGUGAGGGUUGCUGGAGGUAUCAGAAGUGCGAAUGCUGACAUAAGUAACGAUAAAGCGGGUGAAAAGCCCGCUCGCCGGAAGACCAAGGGUUCCUGUCCAACGUUAAUCGGGGCAGGGUGAGUCGACCCCUAAGGCGAGGCCGAAAGGCGUAGUCGAUGGGAAACGGGUUAAUAUUCCCGUACUUGGUGUUACUGCGAAGGGGGGACGGAGAAGGCUAUGUUGGCCGGGCGACGGUUGUCCCGGUUUAAGCGUGUAGGUGUGUGUUCCAGGUAAAUCCGGUUCACUUUAACACUGAGGCGUGACGACGAGGCACUACGGUGCUGAAGCAACAAAUGCCCUGCUUCCAGGAAAAGCCUCUAAGCAUCAGGUAACAUCAAAUCGUACCCCAAACCGACACAGGUGGUCAGGUAGAGAAUACCAAGGCGCUUGAGAGAACUCGGGUGAAGGAACUAGGCAAAAUGGUGCCGUAACUUCGGGAGAAGGCACGCUGACACGUAGGUGAAGUGAUUUACUCAUGGAGCUGAAGUCAGUCGAAGAUACCAGCUGGCUGCAACUGUUUAUUAAAAACACAGCACUGUGCAAACACGAAAGUGGACGUAUACGGUGUGACGCCUGCCCGGUGCCGGAAGGUUAAUUGAUGGGGUCAGCGCAAGCGAAGCUCCUGAUCGAAGCCCCGGUAAACGGCGGCCGUAACUAUAACGGUCCUAAGGUAGCGAAAUUCCUUGUCGGGUAAGUUCCGACCUGCACGAAUGGCGUAAUGAUGGCCAGGCUGUCUCCACCCGAGACUCAGUGAAAUUGAACUCGCUGUGAAGAUGCAGUGUACCCGCGGCAAGACGGAAAGACCCCGUGAACCUUUACUAUAGCUUGACACUGAACAUUGAGCCUUGAUGUGUAGGAUAGGUGGGAGGCUUUGAAGUGUGGACGCCAGUCUGCAUGGAGCCGACCUUGAAAUACCACCCUUUAAUGUUU